UACGUAGGGGGCUAGCGUUGUCCGGAAUCAUUGGGCGUAAAGCGCGUGUAGGCGGCCCGGUAAGUCCGCUGUGAAAGUCCAGGCUCAACCCUGGGAUGCCGGUGGAUACUGUCGGGCUCGAGUCCGGAAGAGGCGAGUGGAAUUCCGUGGUGAGCGGUGAAAUGCGCAGAUAUCAGGAGGAACACCGAUUGCGAAGGCAGCUCGCUGGGACGUCACUGACGCUGAGACGCGAAAGCGUGGGAGCGAACAGG
rnacentral:rRNA from 1 species